UACGGAAGGCAGCAGUGGGGAAUAUUGCACAAUGGGCGCAAGCCUGAUGCAGCCAUGCCGCGUGUAUGAAAAAGGCCUUCGGGUUGUAAAGUACUUUCAGUCGUGAGGAAGGUGUUAAGGUUAAUAACCUUAGCAAUUGACGUUAGCGACAGAAGAAGCACCGGCUAACUCCGUGCCAGCAGCCGCGGUAAUACGGAGGGUGCGAGCGUUAAUCGGAAUUACUGGGCGUAAAGGGCACGCAGGCGGUUAAUUAAGUUGGAUGUGAAAUCCCCGGGCUUAACCUGGGAAUGGCAUUCAAGCUGGUUAGCUAGAGUCUUGUAGAGGGGGUAGAAUUCCAUGUGUAGCGGUGAAAUGCGUAGAGAUGUGGAGGAAUACCGGUGGCGAAGGCGGCCCCUGGACAAAGACUGACGCUCAUGUGCGAAAGCUGGGGAGCAAACAGGGAUUAGAUACC
rnacentral:rRNA from 1 species